GAAACUGUGAUUACAUAGCAAAAAAUGAGAUGUUUCAAAAUAAUUUUAAAUCAAUAUUUCCCUGGCUCAACAACUGAGAAAUGGCAUCUAAUAUGCAUGCUGCUGAAGUGGGGCUGGCAGUCAAGGGAGAAAACCUAAAGAGAAUAACUCAAAACUGUCAGAUGGCUAUAAAGAAAGAGGCUUGCUUACCUGGCCACGACUAUAGAAAACACUGGGGGAAGACAGCUUGGAGGAGUGGGCAGGCAAAGAGGAACAAGGACCAACUUCUUGUUGAACUAUUAUUUGUAUUGUGUGGAAAAGAACCUGCUAAUACCUCCAGAACCCAGGAUGGAAACAUUGAAAACUGGGCUUGCCAGAGAUGCAGCGCGAGACGAAGAAUUUCAUCAGUCAGAAGGAAAUCAACGUGAGGUCAGCAGCCUGAGGAUCACCAGAAGGUAUUUCCAAAUUUUCCAAAGGGCCACCAAUGUCUAGAGAAGCUGCUUGAAACUAUAUCUUCAACAGUAAACUUGCUUUGGUAAACAUGAUUCAGACUGCAUUGAUAUUGAUAUGAUUAAAAUCCAAGAUUCAAAUAAAUAAGUAAAUAAAAUUAUAAAACA
rnacentral:lncRNA from 1 species